CGAUGCAAUCAACCAUAGAAUCUGUAGUGAAGGUAUAAUGAAGCGGAUUGGGCUCUGCUAGCCUGAUAUUGGGCAUCCUGUUCCCUAUAGUUGUCGACACUCUGAAAAUGUCUAUCACUAGAUGGCUUCGGGUUGGGAGUACUAGCUGUCGAGUAAGACCCAAAAUUGUCCCACUUCUUCUUGGAUAACUUUCCACCAUUCCUGCCGCUCUGUUG
rnacentral:lncRNA from 1 species